rnacentral:rRNA from 1 species
AGCGAACGCUGGCGGCAGGCCUAACACAUGCAAGUCGAACGGACCCUUCGGGGUUAGUGGCGGACGGGUGAGUAACACGUGGGAACGUGCCUUUAGGUUCGGAAUAGCUCCGGGAAACGGGUGGUAAUGCCGAAUGUGCCCUUCGGGGGAAAGGUUUAUCGCCCUUAGAGCGGCCCGCGUCUGAUUAGCUAGUUGGUGAGGUAAUGGCUCACCAAGGCGACGAUCAGUAGCUGGUCUGAGAGGAUGACCAGCCACAUUGGGACUGAGACACGGCCCAAGCUCCUGCGGGAGGCAGCAGUGGGGAAUCUUGCGCAAUGGGCGAAAGCCUGACGCAGCCAUGCCGCGUGGAUGAUGAAGGUCUUAGGAUUGUAAAAUCCUUUCACCGGUGAAGAUAAUGACUGUAGCCGGAGAAGAAGCCCCGGCUAACUUCGUGCCAGCCGCCGCGGUAACAC